rnacentral:rRNA from 1 species
GAGUUUGAUCCUGGCUCAGGAUGAACGCUAGCGGCAGGCUUAAUACAUGCAAGUCGUGGGGCAGCAGGGGUAGCAAUACCCGCUGGCGACCGGCAAACGGGUGAGGAACAUGUACGCAACCUUCCUUUAACUGGAGAAUAGCCCCUCGAAAGAGGGAUUAAUACUCCGUAACAUGAUGAAGUGGCAUCACUUUAUUAUUAUAGCUCCGGCGGUUAAAGAUGGGCGUGCACCUGAUUAGAUAGUUGGCGGGGUAAUGGCCCACCAAGUCUACGAUCAGUAACUGGUGUGAGAGCACGACCAGUCACACGGGCACUGAGACACGGGUCCGACUCCUACGGGAGGCAGCAGUAAGGAAUAUUGGUCAAUGGACGCAAGUCUGAACCAGCCAUGCCGCGUGGAGGAUUAAGGCCCUCUGGGUUGUAAACUCCUUUUAUCUGGGAAGAAAUGUUCCGAUUCUUCGGAGCUUGACGGUACCAGAGGAAUAAGCACCGGCUAACUCCGUGCCAGCAGCCGCGGUAAUACGA